CACACAGUCUUAUUGCAUUGGCCAGGACUCCAGGAGACUUGAAGAACGGCCGUGGUUGCAGAUCUAGUGUCCAGCUUAGGACUUUUGUCUUUUGGGACUCACGGCUUCCCCUUUACUCCCUACAUGUAAUUCUGCACCUAGCCCUUCAGGGACAGAGCUGAGCACUGCUGCAGGUCCAGCCGAAUAUAAGACUCUUUCCCUGCCCAGGAUGAUUGUUCCAGAGUGGGGAAGAAAUCUGCAUAUGGCCCACCAAGUUUCCUUGCUGUUUUUUGUCU
rnacentral:lncRNA from 1 species